rnacentral:lncRNA from 1 species
CCAGUGUGUUCCGCUUAUGCCACCGGUAAGAACCAAUACCUGCUGCUGUCCUGCUCCUGGGAAGGUGGGUCUCCCAGGGCUGUGGUGUGGUGGGAGGUGCCUAAAGAAGAGGGGAGGGGCCAAGAAGUGGAGACCUCCAACAUCCUGGUACUUCGUUCUAACUCCACCCAGAAUGGACAGGCCUACACCUGCUACGCCAAACACCCCCUGGACACACGCACCAGGACCUGCAGCCUUGUCCCGGUCAGUAAGCCAUAUAUUCUUCUGAGUGAUGCAUCCCCUGCGGAGGGAUCUUCGGUGUGGCUGCGCUGCGGCCUGGAGAAUGGUACUGGGCCACUUUACUUCCUGUGGGAGCAUGAG